rnacentral:lncRNA from 1 species
GGCGCCAGCGCUGUGUGCCUUUGCGAGGGCGGAGCUGCGGUCUCCUCAGCACAGACCCGGAGAGCAUUGCGAGGGCGGAGCUGAGUUCUCCUCUGCAGACUUCGGAGAUACAGCGAAGGCAGAGCAAUGUUCUCCUCAGCAGAGACCCGGGCGGGCGGGCCGGUGGCACCGCGAGGGCGGAGCUGCGUUCUGCUCUGCACAGACCUUGGGGGCACUGCCUCGCUUUGGGACAACUCAGGGCCGCAUGGACAGUGAAUAAAAUCCUUCCUGUUUGCAGCCCUGUUUGUGGUUGGUGGCAGCGAUGGACACUGCAGCCAGCCAGAGCGUAGAAAGGCGUCGGGUGAAAGAAGAUGGCCACGGAGACAGACAGCAGCGUGGUCAGAGUGGUAGGAGCCGGCCAUCAGCGAGAGCUGCUCCAUGCCUGGCUGCUGGGUCCUAGAGCCUGUGGCCCACUGGCUUGCCUCACUGUGGUUGGUGGUGGUGGUGACAGAGACUGCAGGACGACCAGAGUGGCUUUUCUGGCUUUGCCCGCCCAGCUGCUCUGUGCCAGGAGGAGGAGGAGACACCUAGAGCCUGCGACACCAUGGCUCGCCUCGCUGCGGGUGGGCGGCAGUGACAGAGACUGCGGUGCGCCAGAGUGGUAGGAGAGCGGCUGCGCUAGGAGGGCAGGCGGCUGCAGCCAGGGUUGGGGGUCAGGCUUAGAGCGAUGGACGGGCUGCAGCAGUGGCCAGGUGGUAGGAGCCUUGUAGGGAGGGCUGGUGCCUUGGCAAUGGGCCUGGCUUUGCCCUGCGCCUGCCGUGGAUCUGGCCCUGUACUGCCCUGCCUUGCCCUGUACCUGCCCUACUGUUACUUGGACUCUCGGCCCUGUCCUGCUCUGGUCCCAUCCUGACCCUGUCUUGGCCCUGUGCUACCCUGUCCCUGCCCUGGUCUUGCCCUGGCACUGGCCCUGCCCUGAACCUGCACUGGCCUGACCUUGGCUCUGGCCCUGGCUCUGGCCCUGCCUCUUGUCCUGACCCUGGUCGUGUCAUGGCACUGGCCCUGCCAAUGGUCAUGGUCCUGCUCCUGUUCUGGCCCUGACCUGGCCUUGGACAUGUCCUGGCCCUGCUUUGGCCCAUCCCUGCCCUGGCUCCACCAUGGGCCUGCCUGUUCUGCCCUCUCCUGGCACUGACCUUGCCCUGUCAUGGCCCAGUGGUGCCAUUGCCCUGCCUUACCCUGCGCUGGUUGUGACUUGGCCCCGCUUGGUGCUGGCCACUCCCUGGACCUGCCCUGGACCUGCCCUGACCCUGCCCUUGGCUUUUGCCCUGCCCUCACUAUGGCCUGGCCCUGGCCCUAGCCCUGGUCCUGCCAUAUCCCUGGCCCUGCCCUUAUCCAGGCCCUGCCCCUGCUGCUGC